UACGGAAGGCAGCAGUGGGGAAUAUUGCACAAUGGGCGCAAGCCUGAUGCAGCCAUGCCGCGUGUAUGAAGAAGGCCUUCGGGUUGUAAAGUACUUUCAGUCGUGAGGAAGGUGUUAAGGUUAAUAACCUUAGCAAUUGACGUUAGCGACAGAAGAAGCACCGGCUAACUCCGUGCCAGCAGCCGCGGUAAUACGGAGGGUGCGAGCGUUAAUCGGAAUUACUGGGCUAAAGGGCACGCAGGCGGUUAAUUAAGUUGGAUGUGAAUCCCCGGGCUUAACCUGGGAAUGGCAUUCAAGACUGGUUAGCUAGAGUCUUGUAGAGGGGGUAGAAUUCCAUGUGUAGCGGUGAAAUGCGUAGAGAUGUGGAGGAAUACCGGGUGGCGAAGGCGGCCCCUGGGACAAAGACUGACGCUCAUGUGCGAAAGCGUGGGGAGCGAAACAGGGAUUAGAUACC
rnacentral:rRNA from 1 species